rnacentral:rRNA from 1 species
UACGUAGGGGGCUAGCGUUGUCCGGAUUUAUUGGGCGUAAAGAGCGUGUAGGCGGCCAGGUAGGUCUGCUGUGAAAACUCGAGGCUCAACCUCGAGACGUCGGCGGAAACCAUCUGGCUAGAGUCCGGAAGAGGAGACUGGAAUUCCUGGUGUAGCAGUGAAAUGCGUAGAUAUCAGGAGGAACACCGAUGGCGAAGGCAGGUCUCUGGGCUGACACUGACGCUCAUGCACGAAAGCGUGGGGAGCAAACAGG